GACAUCUAAGACGUAGCUUUAAUUAUCCGGAAGUGCGGUCCCAAGGACUUCAAACUCAUUGUCCUGGCCUUCCGGAAGUACCUGUGAUGAGAGGAAGUCCAGCUCAAAGCAGAUUUCUAAACAAACCAAGAAAAGAUGAGAAGAGUGUCCACACGGAGCAAUGAUGGCACUAACCUGGUACAAGAAAACAGACAAAACUAGAUGAAAAAUACAUCUACAUAGGGCAACCUGUGCAUGGUGUUCAAGUGGGAAAAGCCACAUAUUGACCCUGGUGAGAGCCGCAACUUCUCCCUAGGACCACCUCCUCAGCCUGCCAUCAGCUCCACCCCAGGAGAAUCCUGCCUUGGUUCCGGACCUGGUCACAGUGUUCUGAAUGAGUGUGCAUCUGCUGGACUUAAAGCCUAAGGCUUGAGACUUUUGAUCUGACACUUGAACUUAGCAUGCAGCGGGAAUGUCUGUCAUUAGCCUGUCAUGGUUAAAUGUGUGUGUAGUGCUUAGAAUUAAUCUAGAAUUGUUUGCUGUGAAUUGUCUAUUGUACUACCUAGCAUUAAGUAUUGUCGUUUUCUUGAUUAAGAACCUAUAGAGUGAAAUUGUAUUGAGUGAUUUGAGUGAAUAAAGCAUUGAAAAGGGCAGAAG
rnacentral:lncRNA from 1 species